rnacentral:rRNA from 1 species
UACGUAGGUGGCGAGCGUUGUCCGGAAUUACUGGGCGUAAAGCGCGUGUAGGCGGGUCUUUAAGUCAGGGGUGAAAUGCCAAGGCUCAACCUUGGAACUGCCUUUGAUACUGGAGAUCUUGAGUCCGGGAGAGGUGAGUGGAAUUGCGAGUGUAGAGGUGAAAUUCGUAGAUAUUCGCAAGAACACCAGUGGCGAAGGCGGCUCACUGGCCCGGAACUGACGCUGAGACGCGAAAGCGUGGGGAGCAAACAGG